CAGUCGCCACGGUAAUACGAAGGGUGCAAGCGUUACUCGGAAUUACUGGGCGUAAAGCGUGCAUAGGUGGUGGUUUAAGUCCGUUGUGAAAGCCCUGGGCUCAACCUGGGAAUUGCAGUGGAUACUGGGUCACUAGAGUGUGGUAGAGGAUAGUGGAAUUUCCGGUGUAGCAGUGAAAUGCGUAGAGAUCGGAAGGAACAUCUGUGGCGAAGGCGACUAUCUGGGCCAACACUGACACUGAGGCACGAAAGCGUGGGGAGCAAACAGGAUUAGAGACCCCCGUAGUCCCUGUCUCUUAUAC
rnacentral:rRNA from 1 species